UGGAUGCUUCAUCGUGGUCGUUGGUUGAGAUCGUGCGGCCAUGGAUUUUUUUUUUUUUACUGCUCUUCGCACCAUCUUCUUCCUCAUUCCUUUUCGUACUGACAUCGACCUCUCUUCCUCUUUGUGCCGACAUUGACGGAUGGUCCAGCCACGAAAGCAUCGGGCGUUGCGUUGUAUUGGGCAAGGCGGAUGGGGACAGGGACAAAUACACCGUUAUUUUUGUUUUGGAGUUUUCUGAAGGGUAGGGGAAUUGUUUUUUGCGAUUUGGGGUUUGGGAUUCGGAAGUUUCUAGGGGCGAGGUAGAGGCUAGAGUAGGUCUAUUUGCGGCUGCCGGCGGAUUUGUUGAAGACGGAACUGCCGAUUUUAGGGAUAAACAUGUCGUCUUCGAAGCAGUGAGUGGGUGGGAUUGGGAUGAGGAGUUUAAAAAAUUUAAUAUCUGGCCACACGAUCUCAACGAACAGCCGGAUUGGGAUGAGGAGUUUAAAAAAUUUAAUAUCUGGCCACACGAUCUCAACGAACAGCCAGGAUGAAAGGUCAGGAUGGAUCCCAAGGAUAGAUUCGAAAAGGAUCUGUAUUUUGGUGUGCGCUCUAUUCUUCCCUUAUAUUUAAGACCUGGAUUUGGAGCAACCUAACAUUCUCUGUUAUGUAGACUGUUUUUUCAUUCAUUCUGUUAAGAAGAAGAUUUUUUUUUUUUUUUUUUAACAAAAGCGAUAUCGAUUUCAUUACUAACCAAGAAUAAUUAUGUUAAUGCAUGGUCAUUUUAUACACAUUAAAAUAACAAAUAAUUGUUAUGGGCCUAAUAGAUGGGCCUGAUGAGAGCUAGCGACCCAAAAACAGUAAACAAAGCACUACCACAUCAACCACUCUUGACCUUGGAUAGUCUACUGACAAGAAGGAACAAGCGUAGAACUUAAAGUACUUUUUGACUACUCAAGAUAGUUGGCAUGUCUAACAACUUUCUGGCAUAGAGUUCUAAUGACAGGUUUGUGCAAACAUCAACUCCGGAUCACGUGGAUCCCUAUCUGACCCAGUCCCACUCUUGUGGAUCACUGUUGGAUGAAAGACCGGUUGACCAGGGAUUAGAUCACCGUUGGAUGGAAGACUUCUUAGCCAAGGACUAGAUCACCAUUGGAUAAGAGACCUUUUGGCAUGUGAUGGGCCACCUCUUCUAAGUGGUCAGCUUUCUAGUAGUCGUCUCUCUUGUGGCCAGCUCUUCAUGGUUAUCUCUCUAGCUAUCGACUCUAGUGGUUAUCUUUCUAGCUAUCGACUCUAGUGGUUAGCUCUCUAUAAGACCACUUGUGAUGAACACUUCCUCCAAGUGGUGAGCACUCCGGAUGACCACCUCUUCUUAGCUCUCUACCGGAUGACCACUUCUCCCAAGAGCUCUAAGGAUGACCAUUUCACUUGAGUGCUCUACGGAAGACCACUUCUCCCGAGUUCUCUACGGACGACCAUCUCUCCCAAGUGCUUUAUGGACGUCUGCCUCUUCCGAGUGCUUUACGGACGACAGCCUCUCUCGAGUGCUUUCUACGAAUCACCACCAUUAAAUGAAAACACUAGAUAUUUAUUAGUUUGUAGAGAUUUUUUGGGAUUUAUAUAUCUAUUAAUCGGUAACUUUUAUGCCUGACAGCUUCAAUCCUUUUGAUUCCCACGUAUAGUUUGAAUUCUAUGGAUCCCCAUUUGAUCGCGAUGUUGAUCUCCUCGGCAAUGUUAUUCAAUCAUGGUGUGUCAUGGGAUGCUUGGGUCCCUAUAUUGUUAGCUGAGUAAUUUUAUCGAAUUGGUGGUCUUAAACAUGUACGGGCAGUAAUUGGAUAAUUAUUGUAUACAAAACAAUUUCAUACAAAGUCAACAUCAUCAAGUAUAUUUCAAAUAUGAAGGUAUGAUAGGAGUGGUGAGUAGAAUUUGUUGAAAAACCGCACACUAGAUCUUGUUCAUUAAUGUAACCAACGACAAUAGACUAAAACUUAGCAAAAGAGUGAAAACUAGAAAACACACAAGACUUAUACUAGUUCGGUAUAACUUUUGCCUACGUCCAGUUGUCAUUUCUCUGGGUAAAGAAAUCACCGCUCCUUUGAUUAAUAAUAGAGAUUAUAGAACUUUUGCAAACCCUAGAACUAAUCUCUCUCACUUGUCUCAACUGUCACAAUUUUUCCUCUCUAAAAUUUAAUCCUUGCCCCACCCUAUUUAUAGGCAUAGGGUGCAGUUUACAUGUCAUUUACAGAUUGUAAUUCCUAUUCUAAGUGGAAUAGGAAAUUAGACUUCCUUUCCAAUUCCAAAUAGACUUCUAGGAUUUCUAAUCUAAAUUGAAUAAGGAAACUAAGAUUCUUUCCUAGCCCUUUUAGGAGAAGAAUCGGUGCACCUUUUUUUUCCCUAAAACAAUCAUAAACAGAAAAUGACAC